rnacentral:rRNA from 1 species
GACGAACGCUGGCGGCGUGCUUCAUACAUGCAAGUCGAACGAGAAGCUGACUUCGGUCAGUGGAAAGUGGCGGACGGGUGCGUAAUAUGUAGGAAAUCUGCCUUUAGGAGGGGGACAACAGAGGGAAACUUCUGCUAAUACCCCAUAUGAGCGUAGCUGAAAUGCUAUUCUUGAAAACUCCGGUGCCUAAAGAUGAGCCUGCAUCUGAUUAGCUAGUUGGUAGUGUAAUGGACUACCGAGGCGACGAUCAGUAGCUGGUUUGAGAGGAUGAUCAGCCACAAUGGGACUGAGACACGGGUCAGACUCCUACGGGAGGCAGCAGUAGGGAAUUUUGCGCAAGGGGCGAAAGCCUGACGCAGCAACGCCGCGUGAACGAUUAAGCCCUUCGGAGUGUAAAGUUCUGUCAGUGGGGACGAAACUUGACGGUACCCACAGAGGAAGCACCGGCUAACUCCGUG